rnacentral:rRNA from 1 species
CAGUAGCCACGGUAAUACGUAGGUGGCGAGCGUUGUCCGGAAUUAUUGGGCGUAAAGGGAGCGCAGGCGGACAUAUAAGUCCAUCUUAAAAGUGCGGGGCUCAACCCUGUGAGGGGAUGGAAACUGUAUGCCUUGAGUGCAGGAGAGGAAAGCGGAAUUCCCAGUGUAGCGGUGAAAUGCGUAGAUAUUGGGAGGAACACCAGUGGCGAAGGCGGCCUUCUGGACUGUAACUGACGCUGAGGCUCGAAAGCCAGGGGAGCGAACGGGAUUAGAUACCCCAGUAGUCCCUGUCUCUUAUACA